rnacentral:rRNA from 1 species
CGUUGUCCGGAAUCAUUGGGCGUAAAGCGCGCGUAGGUGGCCCCGUAAGUCCGCUGUGAAAGUCAAAGGCUCAACCUUUGAAAGCCGGUGGAUACUGUGGGGCUAGAGUACGGAAGAGGCGAGUGGAAUUCCUGGUGUAGCGGUGGAAUGCGCAGAUAUCAGGAGGAACACCAAUAGCGAAGGCAGCUCGCUGGGACGUUACUGACACUGAGGCGCGAAAGCGUGGGGAGCGAACAGG